AGACUGAAUGGGAGAUGAGCUAGUGAAGACAGGCGAGCAACUCCUCCAGGAAGUUUGGCUAGAGAAGGAAAAAAAAAAAGGACAGCAACAGGUUUUUUCAGAACGACACAGGUUUGAAUACAUUCAAAUGCUGAGAGAAAACAGCCAGUGAAGAAGGAAGAGGCAAGGGGACAACAAAACCAUUGAGUAAGGAUUUCCCAGCCAGAAAGAGGUGUGCAAAUCCAGGAUCCUGGUGAGGAAUUCAGUUUGGGGUAUCAGAAGCAAAGAAAGGCUAAUUCUUCCACGAAGCACAGGAUCUUUGCAGCUCCCAUUUGUAGCAGAAGCAGAAGCACCAGCAGCCCCAUGGAGCCAAAACUGGUGUGUCCCUCCUGUACACAGGAUGGUUGAAUCUCUCAAUCCAACUGUAUUUGGAGUGAGGGACUUGAAGGAGAAAAUAAACCGAGGCUGAGUGGGGCCCUAAUCCAGUCAGACUGGCAUCCUUAUAAAAGAGGAAGAGACACCAGCACGAGUGUGC